UACGUAGGGUGCGAGCGUUAAUCGGAAUUACUGGGCGUAAAGCGUGCGCAGGCGGUUCGUUAUGUCCGAUGUGAAAGCCCCGAGCUUAACUUGGGAAUGGCAUUGGAAACUGGCGGGCUGGAGUGCGGCAGAGGGGGGUGGAAUUCCACGUGUAGCAGUGAAAUGCGUAGAGAUCCGGAAGAACACCGGUGGCGAAGGCGGCCUGCUGGGCAGUAGCUGACACUGAGGCGCGACAGCGUGGGGAGCAAACAGG
rnacentral:rRNA from 1 species